rnacentral:rRNA from 1 species
UACGUAGGGGGCUAGCGUUGUCCGGAUUUAUUGGGCGUAAAGAGCGUGUAGGCGGCCAGGUAGGUCUGCUGUGAAAACUCGAGGCUCAACCUCGAGACGUCGGCGGAAACCAUCUGGCUAGAGUCCGGAAGAGGAGAGUGGAAUUCCUGGUGUAGCGGUGAAAUGCGCAGAUAUCAGGAAGAACACCCGUGGCGAAGGCGGCUCUCUGGGACGGUACUGACGCUGAGACGGCGAAAAGCGUGGGGAGCGAACAGG